GCGCGCGUAGCGCAGUGGUUAACGCGUUGCACUCGUAACUCAAGUUCUGAGAUCAUGCAAAGAUCAUCGGUUCGAUUCCGAUCGUGCGCA